UACGUAGGGUGCGAGCGUUAAUCGGAAUUACUGGGCGUAAAGUGUGCGCAGGCGGCCGAGCAAGUCGAGUGUGAAAGCCCCGAGCUUAACUUGUGAAUUGCGCUCGAAACUACUUGGCUGGAGUGUGGCAGAGGAAGGUGGAAUUCCGGUGUAGCGGUGAAAUGCGUAGAUAUCGGAAGGAACACCAGUGGCGAAGGCGGCUUCCUGGACUAAUACUGACGCUGAGGUGCGAAAGCGUGGGGAGCAAACAGG
rnacentral:rRNA from 1 species